UUGAUACUGUAAGGCUAGGAUAUGGUUGCUGUGGGUGGAAUGUGUGGUGUAGCGGUGAAAUGCUUAGAGAUCACACAGAAUAUCGAUUGCGAAGGCAGCUCACAAAGCCAUUAUUGACGCUGAGGCACGAAAGUGUGGGGAUCAAACAGGAUUAGAUACCCUGGUAGUCCACACUGUAAACGAUGAUAACUCGCUGUCGGCGAUAUAAAGUCGGUGGCCAAGCGAAAGCGAUAAGUUAUCCACCUGGGGAGUACGACCGCAAGGUUGAAACUCAAAGGAAUUGACGGGGGCCCGCACAAGCGGAGGAACAUGUGGUUUAAUUCGAUGAUACGCGAGGAACCUUACCCGGGCUCGAACGGUGCAGGAAUACUACAGAGAUGUGGUAGCUAGCAAUAGUCUGUAUCGAGGUGCUGCAUGGUUGUCGUCAGCUCGUGCCGUGAGGUGUCGGCUUAAGUGCCAUAACGAGCGCAAC
rnacentral:rRNA from 1 species